GGCUCUUGGCGGUGGAUCACUCGGCUCGUGAGUCGAUGAAGGACGCAGCUAGCUGCGUGAUUUAGUGUGAAUUGCAGGAC
rfam:Ciona savignyi cont_50062, whole genome shotgun sequence.